CGGCUCUGCCCAGUGCUGAUGGGAUGUCAGUGCCACCUGCUUCUCUCAAUAAAAGGUAGGUUCGAUUCCUUUUGGCUUCCAUAGCAUUUGCUACACUUUUAUUCUGUCUCUCUUCUCGUUUUUCCAUGUUGCCUGUUGGUGCCUCGCUGGAGUUCCCAGGACGCCAAGUGCACGCUUUUGACCAAGUGAGAUGCAACAGAAGGGGUAGGCUCCUAAAGAGGCUUCUGCUGAGUGCUGUCCUUGACUCGGGGUUUGUACAAUGACCAGCUAUUGUUGAUAAGCCAUGCUGUUGAGCACCGCGUGUAAAGCUUUCUUCUUUCUUUCUAGAGUUGGCAACUCCUCCACCAGACGCAGCAGGCAUUUUGGGCAGCCCAAGCUUCUGCAGUGAACGUGUCCCGUUCCUGGUAAAGGUGUGGGCGUUCCUGGAUGUGCCCGGUCCCCUGGAUCCCUGAUGUCUCCUGUUUCACACGCUCGCUCAGGUCCUUUGGGGCUUGGUGUCGGUUGUCCCUCGUGCUCCCGUUGCUUUCACCGGGUGUUCUUCCUCUCCCCAUGCCCGGCUCUGCCCAGUGCUGAUGGGGUGUCAGUGCCACCUGCUGCUCUUAAUAAAAGGUAGGUUUGAUUUCUUUUGGUUUCCAUAGCAUUUGCUACACUUUCAUUCUCUCUCCUUUUUUUUUCUUUUUGCUCUCAAUAAAUGGCAGGUUGAAUUCAUUUUGGCUCCUGUAGUAUUUGCUACACUUGUGUUCUGUUUCUCUUCUCUUUUUUCCAUGUUGCCUGGCGGUGCCUCGCUGGAGUUCCCAUGAGCCCCGGGCACACUUGUGACCAAGUGAGGUGCCAAAAACAGAGGUAUCUCCUAAACCGGCUUCUGCUGAGUGCUGUCCUCGUCUUGGGGUUUGUCCAAUGCCCACCUUUCUUUUCUAACCCACUUUGUUGAGGACGGCGUGUGAGGCUUUCUUCUUUCUUUGUAGGAUUGGGGACUCCACCACCAGAAGUAGCAGGCAUUUUGGGUUAUCCAAGGUUCUGCAGUGAGUGUGUCCUAUUCCUGGUAAGGGUGUGGGCGUUCCUGGACACGAAGAGGGGCUCUCAUUGGUCAUCGGCAGCGCCGUCCCGCCCUCGCCAGCCUGUGAUUGGUCUUCGGCAGCGCCGUCCCGCCCUCGCCAGCCUGU